rnacentral:tRNA from 1 species
GGGCCGCUAGCUCAGCUGGUAGAGCAGGUGACUCUUAAUCACAAGGUCGGGGGUUCGACUCCCUCGCGGCCCACCA